rnacentral:rRNA from 1 species
ACGUACACUCCUGCGGGAGGCAGCAGUGGGGAAUAUUGCACAAUGGGCGCAAGCCUGAUGCAGCCAUGCCGCGUGUAUGAAGAAGGCCUUCGGGUUGUAAAGUACUUUCAGCGGGGAGGAAGGCGAUAAGGUUAAUAACCUUGUUGAUUGACGUUACCCGCAGAAGAAGCACCGGCUAACUCCGUGCCAGCAGCCGCGGUAAUACGGAGGGUGCAAGCGUUAAUCGGAAUUACUGGGCGUAAAGCGCACGCAGGCGGUCUGUCAAGUCGGAUGUGAAAUCCCCGGGCUCAACCUGGGAACUGCAUUCGAAACUGGCAGGCAAGAGUCUUGUAGAGGGGGGUAGAAUUCCAGGUGUAGCGGUGAAAUGCGUAGAGAUCUGGAGGAAUACCGGUGGCGAAGGCGGCCCCCUGGACAGAGACUGACGCUCAGGUGCGAAAGCGUGGGGAGCAAACAGGAUUAGAUACCCGUGUAGUCCCAUGA